AGCCAAGCAAACAAGGAGAAAUCCUGAUGGAAGAGCUCCCGGGGAGACACAGAUGCUGUGAGAGCAGGUGUUCCCAAAGCACUUGGUCCUAUUGACCGGGUAGCCAGUGUACCGGUGAAGUUCUGGAGUAGGCACGAGUUGGAAGCACUGCUGUUAGCCAUGGUGGUAAAGCCUGAGACAGGAGCAAAGCUCUCAAGAGGAGCUGCUUCAACAGCCCCAGGAAUAGCUAGGAAGGUUGUCUGUAGUGGCAGAGGAAAGCAGAUAAGGGGAGAAGAGUCUCAUUAAGGAAGUGGACUCUCUUGAGGGACAAGAGGCCUUGCAGAGGGAUGUAGGUUGAUUGGAGCACUGGGCAAUCAUUAAUGGCAAGAAGUUCAGCAAAGGAAAAUGCCAGGUCCUGCUCCAGGGAUGAAGCAGUGCUGGACACAGGGAGUGUAGCCUGUAUCUCUUGUGGAAACAGUGAUUCAAAGGACAGCAAAGGAAAAACUGGACAUUACUGAAGAAAGCAAAUGAGUGAGGACACAAGUGACACAGAAAGGUAAAGUUGUGAGGUCAAGGUAACAGAAGGGACAGAAUUUAUUGUAUCAUCGAAGAAUUUUCCAUCAGUCUUUAAUAUAUCCUUCUUACAUGAAGUCUGGCAAAACUGAAGACAUGUAAAGCAAUGGAAAUGUUCCUGCCACUAAGAAAUCUGGACAUGGCCAGGAAUGUGCAGUGAUGAAGUGUCUUAGAACUCUUCAGUUUCUUCAGCCAAGGACUUCUCUUGACAUGAAAUCAACAAGCCAUUUCAGAAGUGGAGUGGACUGAGUAGUUACUCACAGACUCACCUCGAUGCAAAUGCAGCAAACCCUUUUAGCAGUGGAGUGCAUUGAGUACUUAGUCAGUUUUAGAGAUGUCUCUGAAUGCACUGUGUAAGUAUUAGUGUAAACUACUAAAGAUUAUGUAAGGCAAUUCAUUCUGUGAAGUUCUUGAAUGGAAAAUAUUUAACAAAGGGAGUUAUUUUUUUCUGAUUUUAUUAUUAUUAUUUCUUUAUUCUCUUAUGUACAAAAUUUGUUAUCAGAAUUAAAAGGAAAAUGUUAUUGCAAAUACUGGUCCUUUACUGUAGAUUUUUAAAAAUAAGAAGGAGGUCACAAAAUUAUGAGGUCAUAAACAUGAAGGUCAUAAGACACAGUUCUGUCUUCUGUGACCAAUUCCCAGAGAAGUCAGUGCCACACUGCUUACAGAAAGACACUCUGUGUGUCUUUAGCCUCUGCUGGAUCAUCAACGGUAUCUAAGCAGGUUUCUGUCACCAACCUAGAAGAAUUAGCCAAAGUAACUGAUAUAUAGGCUCCAGAUGUAAUACUCCAGGCUUAGUUUGGUCAGAAAAGUUAACUGUAUUUGUUGGGCCUAAGAAGGAAGUCAACUUCUGUGGACUGUGGAGAGUGGAGAGAGAAACCAGCAGGAUAUUAGUCUGGAUUAUGUGAAAUUCUUUAUCAGCCUCUCUUUCCACUUAACCUUUUAGAACAAAUGGUACAGAUUUGAGCUUUUAGAGAGAGAAUUGCAAAGUCUUCCUUAUCAGUGAGCAAGAGUGGGAUGGGGGAUGUUCCAUAAAACAAAGUAAUAUGUAAAAGUGAUGCAUAUACAACACUUAAGAGCAGAAAUGCAAUAACAACUUUUUUGUAUGUUCGUGUAUGUUCACAACAGGAAACUAUUAUAUCCUACAUGGAGUUUCUAAUUCGUAGCUACAACAAAGAUUUUGUUGUUGUUGUUGUAGAAGAAUGUUUGCAAGAACAUUUUAGAUAAGACUUGUAGUUCAUCUAGUAUAACUUUCUGCCUGACAGGAACCCUAGAUGCCUCUGAGGAAAGUGAAAACAGUUACUAUUAGGUAAAAUGUCUAGCAUAUAGACUUUUUUUGAAGUCAUUAGGUGUUUAAUUUUGUGUCUUUUCAUGAUUUUUUAAAACUUAAUCUUUAUUAUAACUAUAGAUCUUCUUAUCCAUAUAAAUUCAACCGCUCUUUAAAUUUUGCUGCAAUCUUGGGCUAGGUAACAUCUUAUGUACACUGUGUAGAAAAGAUUCUUGCUGUCUCAGAUUUGAAUCUGCUGCCUUUCUGUAUUCCUGAAUGUACCAUUUUUCUUGUGCUAAGAGAAAGAGACAAUAGAAAUUCUCAGUAUAUUCUGUCUGUAUUAUUCAUUCACUACUUUACAGACCUUUGCUUUGUCCAUUCUUAUUUGUCUUUUUGCUGAAGUUACAAUCUUCAUAAUUUUUAUUCAGAUUAGAGAUUUCAAGAAGCAAUAUUUGAAAAUCAAAAUGGAAUCAGGAAAUUUACAAUACCUGCUUUUAUUUUAUUUAUUUAUUUAUUUUUAAAUGGACAUCAAGUUGAUUAGGAAACAGGUGAAUCACAAAACUGAUUUCAUUUCUUCCUAAAUGUUUCAUAUCUGUGUGGCUAGAGAUAGUAGAUGGCUCUGCAAAAAAUAAAUCCUUAACAGCUCAGAAGUUUUACAGAUGCUAUAGGAAAAUAGAACACAUUUUUGCUUCAUUGAAUUACUGUUAUCCCCAAUUAUUUUAGUUGCCUUUAAUAAAGAGCAUAAAUAAUAUGAAAAAGAAAACAUUUAUGAUUCCUAAUUUAACUCUUAUCUGUUUCAGUUCUUCUUGUAAAACAGAAUUUCAUGUUCAUUGUUGACAAUGUAAUUUUAUCACAAGGAAAUUUCAUGCCCUAGCCAGCCCUGAUGUGAACUACUUUAACUGACAUGAAUGAAUAAGGGAUACUGAUUUAUUCUCUAUAGCCUUCUACAGAGAAAUAAACCAUUAUCUAUAUAUUAUAAACAGCUCAACAGCAUCUUUCAUUUAAUCUAAAACUUUUCGGUCACAAUGCCAGCUUUUAGAUUCGAUUUGAAUUUUCUGCAGUACCCAGUGGUACAGUGGGCAGAGUGCCAGGCA